GGGGGGGGGGGGGGGGGGGGGGAGGGGAGGCGGGGCGGGGGGGCGGGGGGGGGGCUUGCGUCGCGGGGGUUAGCGGCGGGCGGGUGGGUAACACGUGGAGAGCCUACCUAUAAGACUGGGAUAACUUCGGGAAACCGGAGCUAAUACCGGAUGAUAUUUUGCACCGCAUGGUUCAAAAGUGAAAGACGGUCUUGCUGUCACUUAUAGAUGGAUCCGCGCUGCAUUAGCUAGUUGGUAAGGUAACGGCUUACCAAGGCAACGAUGCAUAGCCGACCUGAGAGGGUGAUCGGCCACACUGGAACUGAGACACGGUCCAGACGCCUACGGGAGGCAGCAGUAGGGAAUCUUCCGCAAUGGGCGAAAGCCUGACGGAGCAACGCCGCGUGAGUGAUGAAGGUCUUCGGAUCGUAAAACUCUGUUAUUAGGGAAGAACAUAUGUGUAAGUAACUGUGCACAUCUUGACGGUACCUAAUCAGAAAGCCACGGCUAACUACGUG
rnacentral:rRNA from 1 species